CCUUCGAUAGCUCAGCUGGUAGAGCGGAGGACUGUAGACUUGAUAAAUGUGGACAUCCUUAGGUCGCUGGUUUGAUUCUGGCUCGAAGGA
rnacentral:tRNA from 1 species